GUGAGACAUGCCUUUCGCCUUCCACCAUGAUUGUGAGGCCUCCCCAGCCACAUGGAACUCAUACACUUGAUAAUUCAUUACUUAUUAAGCUUCUUCUCAGCUGAGGUCAUGCAAAAAUGACUCACUUGCUUAUGAUACUUUCCUUGAGGAAUUAAACCAUAAACUCCCUCCUUGCAUUGUGUGUCGUGGGAGAAGAUUCCUAGAAGCAAUAUUCAUCAUCUCUCUUUUCAGUGAUGGACAACUCUCUGCUGUGCCAAAUAUACUAACUUUAACCACCCACUGCCAAACUCACACCUCCUUGUUCAACAAGCCAGUUAAGGGCGUGAAUGAAUCUACGAUGCUGAAGAGCCCUGUGGGCAUCUUCUCACUGGGCACUGGCUAGAAUGCAAUCGGAUUAGACUUUCACAAUUGCUUUGUUUCCAAGCCAGGAAGGAGAAAUCGAAGGCAAUUCACCACCUUUCUAUAUCCAAGAUGAAAACACAGCACUCUCCUAAACUUCAGAAGUAUAACUCAGUGGGUUAGUACUUCAGAUCUAGCCUGAGGCAAAAUUAUGAUUUUUCCAAAAGAUUUUCUUUUUUUAGCAUUCUUUUCCUUACACACAGCCUUUGAUCAAGCUACAGUUUUGAACUGAUUACAGCUUUUGAAGCCUCAGAAGAUUUAAAGACCCACAUUGUUAACAAUGGUGUUUUAGGUGUGUAGCGUAUUACUCAGAGGAGUCGGCUAAUUCUAAGUCCUCAAGUGCUCAGAAAACAACAUUAAAAAGUCCGACAUUUGAAAAGUAUGGAACAUCAUGGAACUGGCUUUAAAAAGGUAUCCAUUCGUGGCAUGAAAAUGUGAAGAACUUUCUUUCUUUGCAAUGUGAGUUCAAGGAAACGCCCAAGAGUGGAUGUUCCAUUGUAAACGCUCUACCCCCAGCUUUUCAAAGGACACAGAAAUUGCACCCAGCAAAGAUGUCCUGUCAAAAUAAUUUAAAAGAAGAAAAAGAAAGUUGCUAGAGGGGAACUGGUACUCCAGAUCAAAAAACAAUUUUAAGUGGUCUAUUUUGGUGGUCUGUGUUGAGACAUACAACAGCCCAAGCUGCUGUUUUUCUAAGAGGUUAAAUUUCAAAAAGAGGAAACAACAGCAAACAGGCUGCCAAUUUACUCAACAAUGUCACAACUGGCUGGAGUUCUGUUCAAAGUAAAACCGCUGAUUUACAAAUUCCUGGAUUUACUCUCAAAUAUUAACACUUCUUAGGAAACUUUAGAGCUUACAUGUCACAUUUAUGACUCCUAGGCAGACACAGCCCUCUCCAAACACAUGGUCCUCAUGACAACUCUUUGCCAUGUAUUUCAGCCCCACUAAGGGAAGCCACUGUCAACUCAACCUGUGAUGCCAAGAAGCAGCCCAGGUACCAAGGAAUACAGACUGGAGUCAACAUUAGAUGCGUUUCUGUAUGGUGUAGUUUGGAGGAGGAUGUUUACAGCACAAUUCCACAAUAAUAUGCUAUAGCAGACAGAAGUUUCCCUUCUAUCAGACACAAAGAACUAGUCAGGGAACGCAAGCUGGCUAGACCACGGUUCAGUUUUUCUCGUCUCCUUUCUGCAAGUGGAAAAUCUGCUGGCUGGCAGUGGAAAUAAUAGGGAAUCCACCUCAGAAUGUUGGAGAAGAGGAUGGGGGAGGAGUUGCAGUUCAGGAAUCCUUCAAAGAAGAUGUGUGGGGAGAGGAAGACAGCACACAGAAACAGGGAGAAGUUAAGAGUAUGAACCUUACCAACAAGUAAAAAUGUGUCAUGUUAAUUUUUUCAACAUCAGCAAACAUGUCAAAAGAUGGAGCACUGGAAGCUGCAUUUUAAACAAAUGCCCCAGGUAAUGCAUACUGAAAAUGCAAUCCUGAUGUCCUAGGUGGCAGGAUUAUUGUUGUUUGGAGAAUGCUCGUGUAAAUUUUUUUUCCAGUCUUCUCUCCUCACUUUCCGUGCCUAAGGAGUCUAAGUCCCACUGCCCCUGCUAAUUGUCCCUGGUUAAUUAGAAUGAAGAAUGACCCCUGAACCAACAUGGGCCCAUGAGCCGCACUGGUGAAUUGUCAUUCAGACCCAAAGGCUGGUGAGUCUUCCUGGGCAUUGAGAAGCAACAGAAAGCCAGUAUGUUCUUUGAUUAAAGAUUAAUUUUCUAGCCCCGGAGUUGGAACUAAAAUAUGUAGAUAUGAUAGUGGCAAGAGACAGACAAAUGCCUAGGCAGAUAAGGGGUGUCCCUGUAGAAACUCUGACCCGCCCAGGUCAUUGUGCACCAGGGGUUUGCCUAAACAUGCCCAUGGUGAAAAAUUUCAUCCCUUAACACAUGCAGUGUACAGUGGCUCAGACUAAGGGCCUGCAGGCACAUUGGAAAGACAGGGUAGAGUCACCAAAAAUUCGCUCCUUAUGCAGGGGAAGAGCCUGGCCUCCAGCUUGUGUGUGGUGGCCUGGUAUUCAAUUUGUGAGAUGGAAACCUGUGUCCAGGACCCCUUUCUUUGCUGACAGCUUUCCUUUCGCUUAAUAAAUUCCACCCUCCUCA
rnacentral:lncRNA from 1 species